rnacentral:rRNA from 1 species
CGGGCGACCGGCGCACGGGUGAGUAACACGUAUGCGACCUGCCCGUAGCAGGGGGAUAAGCGGAAGAAAUUCCGUCUAAUACCGCGUAAUAUCUUUCGGGGGCAUCCCUGAGGGAUUAAAGGAAGCGAUUCCGGCUACGGAUGGGCAUGCGGCGCAUUAGCUAGUCGGCGGGGUAACGGCCCACCGAGGCGACGAUGCGUAGGGGUUCUGAGAGGAAGGUCCCCCACACUGGUACUGAGACACGGACCAGACUCCUACGGGAGGCAGCAG